UGGGGAAUUUUGCACAAUGGGGGAAACCCUGAUGCAGCGACGCCGCGUGAUUUAGAAGGCCUUCGGGUUGUAAAAAUCUUUUUUACGGGAUGAAAAUGACAGUACCGUAAGAAUAAGGUCCGGCUAAAUACGUGCCAGCAGCCGCGGUAAUACGUAUGGACCGAGCGUUGUCCGGAAUCAUUGGGCGUAAAGGGUACGUAGGCGGCCUAGUAAGUUAGAAGUUAAAGAAUAUAGCUCAACUAUAUAAAGCUUUUAAAACUGCUAGGCUUGAGAGAUGGAAGGGAAAGUGGAAUUCCUAGUGUAGCGGUGAAAUGCGCAGAUAUUAGGAAGAAUACCGGUGGCGAAGGCCACUUUCUGGUCAUCAUCUGACGCUGAGGUACGAAAGCGUGGGUAGCAAACAGG
rnacentral:rRNA from 1 species